AAGCACCACACACACACGGACACACCACACCGCUGCUGAGCUUGCUCCCGCUCGCCACCGCACCGCCGCUCCUCGUCCGCGCCACCGCCUGCGCUCGCCGCCGCGGCCGGACCCCCUGCCCUCGCCACCGCCGCCCGCCAUGGCCGCCGGGUGAGCUUCCUCCUCAACACCGCCUGCGCUCUCGCCCCGGCAGGCCGACUGGGUGCCCCCGUGCCUCCGCUUCCGGAGGAGGAGGAGGAUGAGGAGGAGGGGGGAGGAGCAGUCCGCUCCACGUCCGCAUCGGAUUCAUCCGCCCGCGCUCUGCUCUGCCCCGACCCAUAUCCGUCCGCGCCGGUGCCUGUACCUCCUCCCUUCCCGGCUGCAUCUCGGCCAGCGCUUGGACCUCCUCCCCUUCCUCCUACUGCGACACCAUCGCCGGCAACCUGUUUGACCAAAUCCCAUGCCUUCCCUGUUUCAUUCAGUUGGUCUCUCUGGGUUAAUAAUAUUCAUGCCUUCAUUCGCAGAUUUGGAUGUUCAGAACUGGAGGAAUCCCAGCACUACCGUCUAAAUGAUUAGGCCCAUCACAAAUUGAGGCACGCGUUUAAACUACGUUUGCCACAAAUUUCUUGCUUUUUUCAUGGAUGGUCCAUACUGCAUACCUUUUGGAUGGUGGCCAAACUGGUCUGCACUCUGUCUUGCACAUAUAUAGCUCUUGAGAUAUUAUUAUUGACACGCUAGCCUGAAAUAGCGUGUCGAAACAACGCUUGUGCUGUCUGUGUUGUUUGGCUGGUGGUUAUGAUUUUGGCGUCGCAGCAAAGUCUAGUCAGUCAUACACUGCUUUGUUCAUGAGAAAAAUUGGUAGAGUUUGGCACAUCUAUGCUGUUCGACAUUAUAUCAUACUAUGACAGUGGCUGUGUAUCAAAGAUCUCUUCAAGUAAACCACUUUACGACAAAAUCAUAAUGAAUUAGUGUACUCUUUGUUUUUAUGGAACAUCAUAGGGAUCUUCUUGCAGUGCUAGUUGUCAGUUACUCUUUGUUUUUGUGGCUGUGUAUCAUACUCUUUGUUUUUGUGGCUGUGUUCCUGUCUUCCCCAAUUCCCAUAUGUAGCUCGGUCAUGCUUUGCAAAGUAGAUUUUACUGUUGUACAAGUACAGUAUAUGCUAUGAUGUCGACAUUAGCAGUUGGCAUGUUGAGUUAUGUGCGAAUUAAUCUUACUACAGAAAAAAAAAGAAAUAAACACAGUGCUCUGUUUCCUAAUUUACAUGUGUGCAGUUCCAUAAACUGAAGAUUAGCAGUUGACCCUUUUUUUAUCAAUGAAGCUGGACCAGCUUGUGCAGGGUGAAUGCAGUGCAGAGGAGUCAACAGGUCGAGAGGCAUCGUUUCAAUAGCUGCAGGGUGACUCUAUUGUGAGGUUUGCAAACAGUAGCUCAGCUUAGUUCUGAAUUGUGUGGAGUGUCUCCAUCAUUGCUAAGGUACACAUGCUAAACUAGGACUUAAAUAAGGAUGGUUUGCUGUUUCCCUACUUCAAGGUACUUUGUUGCCAUGUUGAAGGAUAGUGGAAAUAAGGCACCUAAAAUUUCUAAUAUUCAUCUGAAAUAAUAACUUUGGAUUAAUGUAGAGUAUAGUGAUUUCAAAUAACUUUUGUACAUAUAUCUAUGUAUGGUCUUAGCUUUAUGUUGACAUAUAUCUUAUUUUGGACCACUAGAUAUGCUAGAAAUAUGCAAUUCAAAGAGUUUUAGAAAUAUGCUAGAAAAAUUGUAAUCAUGGAUGCAAAUUUGUGUCUGUAAAUAUAUAUUUUUUAGCUCUUUUAUCUCUUUGCCGAGUGCCAUAGUUGUGGCACUCGGCAAACUUUUAUUCUUUGCCGAGUGCCAUGGUCUAGACACUCGGCAAACCUCCCUCCGUUACUGUUAAUUGCCGUCGCCCCUAACUUUUUUUUGCCGAGAGCCAACUCAGCACUUGGCAAAGGGUUUGCCGAGUGUCCGAUAAAAAGCACUCGGCAAACUCGGCUUUGCCGAGUCUUUGGUUGCCGUGUGGCGUUUGUUGUGGGCGGCACUCGGCAAACCCUUUGCCGAGUGCAAUUAUGGCUUUGCCGAGUACCGCAGGCACUCGGCAAAUACGCGAAAUCCAGUAGUAGUAAGUUCAGAUCGUCUGACGUUUAACGGUGCGACGUCACUACGCAUGAAGCGAUCCGGCCGCCCAACCAGGAUCCAACGAGGCAAUGGGGAUGGCUCGCACAACCAGCUCGCCCUCCUGCCGCGGGGCUCGCGAACGCGGCUAGCCGGCUACAGCUCUUGCGUGGCUCGGCUGGCGAGUCUGGCUCCUCCCGACGUUGGGCCUCGGCCUAAUAGGAGGAUCCGAGUCCUCACUUUUUACCGCGAAUAGGAGCUUUUGGCGGCACACCUCGUCUUUUUGGCACGAGAAAGACUGUGGGCAGCGGCGUACAUGGACGACAAGCCGUGCACGGCGACGGCGGCGAUCGGACUGGGCGGCCGCGAACAGACUGCUGGAAUUCAUCAAAGAAGCCUGGAGCAAGGUUAAAUCAGCAUAUUUAAGAUGGAAGAAAAUAGAGUGGGUGUGCUGUCUAGUUUGCUACCUGAAAUUGCCAUGGAGUUCAAUACAAUUGAUGAGGCUUGGAUGUUUUGGAUUCGCUAUGGAGGUCAAAAAGGGUUUGAAGUUGGAAAAAGGUAUAGAAACGAAAGAAAAUCUGAUGGGAAUGUUACGUCCUGCAGAUAUGUUUGUGCAAAUGAGGGUCAUAGAAAGGAAGAUAAAAGGGAUCAUGUAACAAAGUGCCCAAGAGCUGAAACUAGAACCGAUUGCCAAGUUCGCAUGGGUGUUGUACUAGAUCUAGAGAAGGGAAAAUAUAAUGUGGCUGAUCUAGUUUUGGAGCAUAAUCACAUCCUUCAGUUGCCAGAAACCUCACAGUGGUUUUUGGUGCUAUUCUCAUGUACGAUGAGACAUUUGAGUCCUUCAAGUGGUUAUUUGAGACCUUCCUAAAAGCACAUAAUGGCAAGCAACCUAAAACAAUCUAUACCGAUCAAGCUGUUGCAAUGGGAAAAGCAGUUAAGGAAGUGUUUUUAGAAGCAUGGCAUGGUUUGUGCACUUUUCAUAUUAUGCAGGAUGCUGUCAAACAUCUAGUUGAAGCCGAUGAUGAAGAAUCUUGUACUUCUCCAAAGCAAAAAACCGAAGACAACGAGAAAGAACCAAGUAUUCUUGUAGAUUUUAGUGCAUGUAUGUUUGAGUACGAAGAUGAGGAAACAUUUGAACAAGCAUUUGACACCAUAAGGGCAAAGGCAAGCAAGCUAAGUUGGUUGGAUAGUAUAUACAAGGUGAAAGAAAAAUGGGUUGAGUGUUACAUGAAGGAUGUGUUCACAUUAGGUAUGAGAAGUACACAAUUGAGUGAGAGUCUAAAUAGUGAAGUCAAGAGGCAUUUCAAAUCUGAUUUUGAUAUCAUUCGAUUUCUUAAGCAUUUUGAAAGGGUGGUGGAAGAUAAGCGGAAAAAAAAGAGCUAGAUGCUGAAUUUGAAUCAAGGAAGAAAAUACUCAGAAUCAAAAUGAGGACACCUACGCUAAUCCAAGCUAGCAAGCUUUACACGACAAUUAUAUUUGAAGCUUUUCAAGGUGAAUACGAAAGGUCCAUGGUAGCAUGCACCACGGCAUUGGACGGCAACAAUUGCUAUCUUGUGGCAAUUGGCAGUCUUGAAGAAAAUUUUACCUUUGAGAAGGAGUACAAAAUUUUUGGUGAUCCUUUAGAGCAAACUAGUACAUGCAGCUGUGGGCUAUUCAGUAGAACUGGAAUUUUGUGUGGCCAUGCUUUAAAAGUUCUUGAUAUGGUGAAUAUCAAAUCUCUCUCAUCACAAUAUAUACUGAAGCGAUGGACACGUGGAGCACGUAGUGAGACAGUACAAGACAACCAUGGACGAAAUAUAAUAGAGAACCCAAGAAUAAAUGAGAUGCUUCGGUACAAAGAUAUGACCCGCAAAUUUCUCAAUUUGGCACUUCGAGCAGCCAGCCGUCCAGAGUUUACCUUGUUAGUAAACAACACACUUGACAGCCUUAGCAAGCAAGUUGAAGAAGAAAUCAAUGCAUGUACUACUAGAACGGUUCCGGUCACUACUCCCAUAAAUGUUACUCCUCCAAAUGAUUUGGUGAGUACAGCAUGCCUAAAGAAGAAGGAUGUGCAAACAAAAAGCUCGAAGCGAAUGUUAAUGGUCGGUAAGUACAAAAUCUGACCGUCAACUAUACUCACAAAAGAAGGAAAACCAUACCUCUUACUCACAUAUUUGUAUCACUAACCUAGCUCCAUAGUUUUUUUUGGAAGAUUUAUGUUUUCAGGAGCACAAGUCCAGAAUGAGAAGAAAACGCGAAUAAUGCACAGAUGAAGUCGCAGAAGAUCGCAUCCUGCGUAACACAUGCAAAGAGAGGCCCACCUGACAGCCCAAACCGACCAAUCAAGCCCUGACACCGACCAUCUGACAUCAAGACCCACCAGGCAGUGUACCAAAGAAGGACAGUGGCCAGAGGCGGCAAAGUGGGGCCGGCCGACCCAUAGGUUCGGUCGAACCUGGACAAGCACCUGUCCAGGUGCAUUUUGGCGGGAAGGCUGAUCUUAUCCUCCUGAAGUCGGUUUGGCACGUUUCCAUGUAUAGAGAUUGCGGGAACCGACCUCAAGAGCUAUAAAAGGGGCCUCCCACCACUCUCACCACACACACCACUUGGAGAAGCCUCUCUCUCAUUCUCAUUGUGACUUGUACUUCUUAGGAUAGUGGAGCUAUGCUAGAACUUCAUUUUUUCAGCGAAUCCAGUCGUCUCGGGGUUGGCGAGCAAUCCUCGGCCUCUGGUAUGGCUUUGUAUUAUCGUUAUGCUUUUCAUACAGAGUUCGUUCAUAGUUAUCUUGCUAUGUUCUUAGCUUGCUUUGCCAUGAUCCGUUCUUCAUCAAGUUGUAUUAAUUGCUUGCUUAGACCAGAUGAUCUGGGUAAGGAUAUUGGUUCGUUGUGCUUUCGAGUUUGCCUUAGCGUCUUACCUGUCCAUCCGAAUGGUGGGGGACCCGGGGGUGCUAAGAUAGUGACCUCAUAUGCGGGCAUGGUGCCCGGGUAUGCGGGAUCCCUUGGAUAUGAUGGUGUUCCACGGUUUGACUGGGGUAGACCGCAUGUGGUGACAGUCAUGUCGGUCCACCAGGAAGCUGCUUCUCGGUUAACGUACUCUCCGACGUUCGGGUAUCGUGUAGGAGUUCAUGCAAAGAUGAAACGGGACUGGAUGUUCUCCAGUGCGGGUCAUUCUCCCUGAUGUCCCUAAUUUUCCGACACCUACAGCUCUAAGCAUGUGGCUAGCAUAACUUCUCUGCUAACAUGAAUAAUAUACUAGGAUUACGUUUGCCUAUGCUCCCGCUAACCUUAGAUGUAUUCGUUUAUUCUUUAUUCAUGAGAGUUGGUUGUUCUGUGUGUGUCACAUUACCCCUGAUUAUCCUUUAUUAUCACUUACCCCUAUAUAAUCAGCAGUCUGCACCUUAUCUCAUAAUGUUAUGGUUAUGUAACUAGUAAACAUUUUUACACAACCUCGCCAUCCCUUGGGAAAAUAUAAAUAACGAUACUAUGAAUACUUCCGGGUGAAAUGCUACAACGGUAUAUCCGUGCGCUUGCGGAUCCUUCUGUAAUCGUUAAGACAUACCGCACGGCGUUUCAUGACGUCGUUGCUAUGAACCUAACCCGUUCAUAGUGACGGUACUAUGGAAUGACCACCGGCAUUUCUGGCGCCGUUGCUGGGAAUUAACCCCUCCUAGUAGCGACGUUAAGAAAUGUCAACAGCGAACAAAAAGUUUUCUUGAUAAGAUGCACAAGUCCGGAAAGAAGGAAAGUAAGAAGGGAGGUAAGAAAAAGGAACGAAAUUGCUACAAAGGUAUGUGAUAACACAACAUAUAUUUGAUUCUCUUCCAUUGUGUUCAAUGGGAACAUGUUCAGUUACAUUUAUUUUAUUUGAAGGAACAACAAACUGUAAAGAAGGGAGGUAAGAGAAGCAGCAUGUGCAGAGACACCAACAAUACAAGACACUGCAGCAAUGAUAAAUAUUUGUCCUAGUACUUCUUUGCCCAUGGAAGAAAUGUCUGAACCAUACAUGGCCAUCUUCUCUCAAACAUUGACGGGGACAAUCACAGAUGAUGUUAUUGCUGAAUUUUAGUAGUGUGGACAUUUCCUGAAUGUCUUUAGAAGAAUAGAUUGUUUAGGAGAAUGGCUAUUUAGAGAACAACUUUUGGAGAAUACCUUUUGCAUAACAGCUUUUGGAGAAUUGCAUCUCUGAACAACAAAUCAUUUUAUCUGAACUAGCAACAAUCAUCAUUACUUUUUAUUCAACUCCAAAAAAAUUUACAACACCA